rnacentral:rRNA from 1 species
AUUUCAGCCUCCCCUAAGGGUUUCGGAUCUCAUCUGGUCUUGGAAGUUAAGCAGGGUCAGAACUGAUUAGUAUUUGGAUGGGAGACUGCUGACAAAUACCAGGUGCCUUAGAUU